AGCGGAUGAAGGGAGCUUGCUCCUGGAUUCAGCGGCGGACGGGUGAGUAAUGCCUAGGAAUCUGCCUGGUAGUGGGGGACAACGUUUCGAAAGGAACGCUAAUACCGCAUACGUCCUACGGGAGAAAGCAGGGGACCUUCGGGCCUUGCGCUAUCAGAUGAGCCUAGGUCGGAUUAGCUAGUUGGUGAGGUAAUGGCUCACCAAGGCGACGAUCCGUAACUGGUCUGAGAGGAUGAUCAGUCACACUGGAACUGAGACACGGUCCAGACUCCUACGGGAGGCAGCAGUGGGGAAUAUUGGACAAUGGGCGAAAGCCUGAUCCAGCCAUGCCGCGUGUGUGAAGAAGGUCUUCGGAUUGUAAAGCACUUUAAGUUGGGAGGAAGGGUUGUAGAUUAAUACUCUGCAAUUUUGACGUUACCGACAGAAUAAGCACCGGCUAACUCUGUGCCAGCAGCCGCGGUAAUACAGAGGGUGCAAGCGUUAAUCGGAAUUACUGGGCGUAAAGCGCGCGUAGGUGGUUCGUUAAGUUGGAUGUGAAAUCCCCGGGCUCAACCUGGGAACUGCAUCCAAAACUGGCGAGCUAGAGUAUGGUAGAGGGUGGUGGAAUUUCCUGUGUAGCGGUGAAAUGCGUAGAUAUAGGAAGGAACACCAGUGGCGAAGGCGACCAC
rnacentral:rRNA from 1 species